rnacentral:rRNA from 1 species
CGGUGGAGCAUGUGGUUUAAUUCGACGCAACGCGAAGAACCUUACCAGCUCUUGACAUGUCAGGUCGGUUUCCAGAGAUGGAUUCCUCCCAGCAAUGGGCCUGAACACAGGUGCUGCAUGGCUGUCGUCAGCUCGUGUCGUGAGAUGUUCGGUUAAGUCCGCUAACGAGCGCAACCCUCGCUGUAUGUUACAUGUGUCAUACAGGACCGCCGGUAUCAAGCCGGAGGAAGGUGGGGAUGACGUCAAGUCCGCAUGGCCUUUAUGUCCGGGGCUACACACACGCUACAAUGGUCGGUACAAUGGGUUGCUAAGCCGCGAGGUGGAGCCAAUCCCCCAAAGCCGGCCUCAGUUCAGAUUGCAGGCUGCAACUCGCCUGCAUGAAGCUGGAGUUGCUAGUAAACGCGCGUCAGCUAUAGUGCGUUGAAUACGUUCUCGGGCCUU